rnacentral:tRNA from 1 species
CCUUAGACAGCUCACUUGGUAGAGCAGAAGACUAUAGUGAGUGAGCUGUGGCAAUCCUUAAGUUGCUGGUUCAGUUCCCGCUGGAAGGAC